GUGAACGCUGGCGGUAGGCCUAACCCAUGCCAGUCGAACGGCAGCACAGUAAGAGCUUGCUCUUACGGGUGGCGAGUGGCGGACGGGUGAGGAAUACAUCGGAAUCUACUUUUUCGUGGGGGAUAACGUAGGGAAACUUACACUAAUACCGCAUACGACCUACGGGUGAAAGCAGGGGAUCUUCGGACCUUGCGCGAUUGAAUGAGCCGAUGUCGGAUUAGCUAGUUGGCGGGGUAAAGGCCCACCAAGGCGACGAUCCGUAGCUGGUCUGAGAGGAUGAUCAGCCACACUGGAACUGAGACACGGUCCAGACUCCUACGGGAGGCAGCAGUGGGGAAUAUUGGACAAUGGGCGCAAGCCUGAUCCAGCCAUACCGCGUGGGUGAAGAAGGCCUUCGGGUUGUAAAGCCCUUUUGUUGGGAAAGAAAAGCAGCAGGUUAAUACCCCGCUGUUCUGACGGUACCCAAAGAAUAAGCACCGGCUAACUUCGUG
rnacentral:rRNA from 1 species